AUGCACGCUGGCGGCGUGCCUAAUCCCUGCAAGUCGAGCGAACGGACGAGAAGCUUGCUUUUCUGAUGUUAGCGGCGGACGGGUGAGUAACACGUGGAUAACCUACCUAUAAGACUGGGAUAACUUCGGGAAACCGGAGCUAAUACCGGAUAAUAUUUUGAACCGCAUGGUUCAAAAGUGAAAGACGGUCUUGCUGUCACUUAUAGAUGGAUCCGCGCUGCAUUAGCUAGCUGGUAAGGUAACGGCUUACCAAGGCAACGAUGCAUAGCCGACCUGAGAGGGUGAUCGGCCACACUGGAACUGAGACACGGUCCAGACUCCUACGGGAGGCAGCAGUAGGGAAUCUUCCGCAAUGGGCGAAAGCCUGACGGAGCAACGCCGCGUGAGUGAUGAAGGUCUUCGGAUCGUAAAACUCUGUUAUUAGGGAAGAACAUAUGUGUAAGUAACUGUGCACAUCUUGACGGUACCUAAUCAGAAAGCCACGGCUAACUACGUG
rnacentral:rRNA from 1 species